rnacentral:rRNA from 1 species
AUGGGGCCCCUGGUCGCCGUAGAGGAAGCAGAGGAAGGCGCGGGUGGCCAUGGCGCUGAGCGACGAGCUGCUGCUGCUCGAAGCGGACAGAGGCAACUAGGGGGCACGGACGAGGCCGGGAAGACGGGGAUGAGCGCCCAGGUCGCAGGGGAGGCGGGCGACGGAGCAAGAGGUGCACGGAGGCCUCGAUGUGCAGGGGGUCGCUGGGCAGGGACAACGGCCGCGGGACUUGGCGCGGCGGCGGCUUCGGGCCGGACCAAGGAGGAGGGCAGCGAGGGGAUCGCGUGCAGAGGCGACGGGGCCGCCGGAGUUGGUCUCUAG